rnacentral:lncRNA from 1 species
AAGUUAUUUGGAGAAUAUCUGCAGCUAUUAAAUAGAUGAAUUGACAUUUAUUUUUGCCUGUCAGGGAUUUGUUAAAGAGUUUGAGCUGACAGUGGUUCUGACCAAGUCCAGGAGUGGAAGCUUUGGUUUCACCAUCACUCGAAGCAAGCUGGACAACUGCUACUACAUACAGGAAAUACUGGACAACCCGGCCAAGGCAGAUGGACGACUCAGGGCAGGCGACAGGCUCAUCACGGUAAAUGGACAUGAUGUUACCAGUGUGGCAGAUGAUGUUGCCAUGACGAUUCUCAGGUCAACCCCGAGAAGACUGAAUAUGACCCUGGGCAGGGCCGUUACCAACCUGGUGGCCCCGCCGUCCUGUGACAGCCUGCCUGAUGUAGUUCUCUACAAGACACCGUCAGGACAGCUGGGUAUAAAGCUGACAGGAGGCAUCGGCAGCAAAUGGCAGGGCAUCUACUGUCUGCAGGUGGUGCCAGGCUCCCCGGCCAGCGAGGAGGGCAGCGUCCAACCCAAUGACAAGAUCCUCUACAUCUGUGGCAGGUGCACCCUGGGAAUGACCCUGGAGGAUGCAGUCAAAGCCUGCGAGAUCGCCCCUCGUAAAGUGAAGCUUAAAAUCUUCAGGUACGUGCCCUCCCAGUUGAGAGAGAUAGACGCUGAAGUUGGUUUGUUUUUGUUUCUUUGAAUGACUCUACUUUUUGUGUCUG